rnacentral:rRNA from 1 species
UACAGAGGUCUCAAGCGUUGUCCGGAUUUAUUGGGCGUAAAGAGCGUGUAGGCGGCCUUACAGGUCAGCUGUGAAAACUCGAGGCUCAACCUCGAGACGUCGGUUGAAACCGUAAGGCUAGAGUCCGGAAGAGGAGAGUGGAAUUCCCGGUGUAGCGGUGAAAUGCGCAGAUAUCGGGAAGAACACCCGUGGCGAAGGCGGCUCUCUGGGACGGUACUGACGCUGAGACGCGAAAGCGUGGGGAGCGAACAGG